UGCCUACAACAUAGCAGUAAUGCAUCGAAUCCCAUUAGAAAUUUGCAGUUUAGUGCACUCAAGCUAUGCAGUAGUACUGGGAUGGGUGAUCGUCCGAGAAUUCCUAGUGUUUUAAAUGC
rnacentral:rRNA from 1 species